ACUAUCCAUAGAUGCUUUGAAGUUGGAUACAUAGUUUAAUAAAAUAUUUAUUUUGUAUAUUUUGGAUUUUAUGUAGAAAGUAAUUUUCUGUUAUAUAUUCCAUCCGUAUAAUUUUAACCGUCGUUUUACGCGCACAUAUUAAUAAAAUAUUUAGUUUGCAUAUUUUCUAAAUAAAAAAAAUUAUUAACUAUGUACAUAAUCAUAUUUUAACCAAUAUAAAAUAAACAUGAACUACCAAACUACUAUUCCCUAAUUACAAAUCCAAAUCUUUAAAUCGGAGCUCAUACUGCAUGAUCCAAGCCCAAGAAACAACCGAUAACAUCAGAAUUAGAAAUAAGCUUGAGGAAGCAAUUAUCCCCGCGCUAUACUGGCUAACUGAAGGAAGACCAAAUCCUAUAUUUCUACCAGAUCAUACCCCAAAGGCCUAUUUGAGCCAAAUACUCUUGAACCUUGGAGAAUGUUUUGCGUUAUUUAAUAUAAAAAUGGGUAAUUGCACUGGAUAUACACGAUUGAAACAUUAUUUAGCUAACUGAACAAUGCACUGUUAAUAAAAUUAUAAUCUCAAACUUUAUCCCUAUCACACUACUUCUGACAGUUGUAUUUGCACAUCAUAUUAUUGUUUAAAAAAAUUAUUUCAUUUUCCUCUAUUUCCUCUCUCUUAUGGAUCAAAAGACGGAACAAUGAUUCUCUUUUUCAAGAAAUUAGUAAACUGAAGUCUAAGCUUAACGGAUAAGAAGAAGAGGAGGAAGAGAACAACGCCGUGAUGAUGGAGAGUGAAUCGGUCAAGGAGGAAGAAGUUUUGUUGCCCGGGGGAAACGAGUAACGCGCCACUACGCCGGAGCUUCCAAUCAUAGUUCAUCUCUGACGCGCCGUCAUCGAAGUCGUCGCUGAAGUUAGGAUUUUUCCCGAUUGAUGUGAGAUCUUUGUUUGUCGAUGGAGGUUCUCCGGGACCUGCAUCCUCCAGUGCGACCUACGCUCAUGCGGGUGGAUUGAUGAGAGACGCAUAGAUCCUCAGUGUAAGAAGACGAGCUCCAAUCACAACUGUGGCGGUUAGGUGGGGUCAGUUAUCAAUCAGUUAUCAAUGAAUUUGGUAAUUUUGUUGAAGGUUCACAAGGAUUUUGGUUGAUUUGGGUGCUUGGUAUCUCUGUAUCUGUUGGUUUUAAUUUUGUGUUCCAUAUUUUAUUCUGAAUUUAUCUUGUUGUUCAUCUUGUUCUUUGUUAGUUUGAUUCCUUGUGGUAGGGCUGUAGUUUCUAGGAAACUUUUAUUUCGCCGGUUUUCUUUCCGGUGACGUUAAUAUAUGAUCAGCCGGCUUAAUGUUGUGAUCCAUGUAUCCCUACCUUUGUAUCUUGCUUUGGUUAGAAAGACAGUGUUUAAAAAAAAAUAUUUAUCCUUUUUCCAAA